UACGAGGGGUGCAAGCGUUACUCGGAAUUACUGGGCGUAAAGCGUGCGUAGGUGGUUCGUUAAGUCUGUCGUGAAAGCCCCGGGCUCAACCUGGGAAUGGCGAUGGAUACUGGCGGGCUAGAGUGCGGUAGAGGAGAGUGGAAGUUCCCGGUGUAGCAGUGAAAUGCGUAGAGAUCGGGAGGAACAUCAGUUGCGAAGGCGGCUCUCUGGACCAGCACUGACACUGAGGCACGAAAGCGUGGGGAGCAAACAGG
rnacentral:rRNA from 1 species